rnacentral:rRNA from 1 species
UGCAGUCAGGGGUAGCAAUACACCGGCGGUCGGGUGCGUAACGCGUAUGCAACCUACCUUAAUCUGGGGGAUAACUCGGGGAAACUCGAGCUAAUACCGCAUAAGAUAUUAGAAUGGCAUCAUUCAGAUAUUAAAGAUUUAUUGGAUUAAGAUGGGCAUGCGUAAGAUUAGAUAGUUGGCGAGGUAACGGCUCACCAAGUCUACGAUCUUUAGGGGCUCUGAGAGGAGAAUCCCCCACACUGGCACUGAGAUACGGGCCAGACUCCUACGGGAGGCAGCAGUAGGGAAUAUUGGGCAAUGGGCGAAAGCCUGACCCAGCCACGCCGCGUGCAGGAAGACGGCCCUCUGGGUUGUAAACUGCCUUUAACUGGGAAGAAAAGAGGCCUUGCGAGGUAAGUUGACGGUACCAGUUGAAUAAGCCACGGCUAACUACGUGCCAGCAGCCGCGGUAAUACGUAGGUGGCGAGCGUUAUCCGGAUUUAUUGGGUUUAAAGGGAGCGUAGGCGGCUGAUUAAGUCAGCGGUGAAAGGUAGCAGCUUAACUGUUUUACAUGCCGUUGAUACUGGUUAGCUUGAGUUGACAGAAGGCAGAUAGAAUUCCUGAUGUAGCGGUGAAAUGCUUAGAUAUCAGGAGGAAUACCGAUUGCGAAGGCAGUCUGCUGCAGUCACACUGACGCUGAGGCUCGAGGUGCGGGGUCAAACAGGAUAGAUACCUGGUAGUCGCACAGUAACGAUGAUACUAAUGUGGCCAGCAGUGUC